rnacentral:rRNA from 1 species
GAUGAACGCUGGCGGCGUGCCUAAUACAUGCAAGUCGAGCGAACAGAUGAGGAGCUUGCUCCUCUGACGUUAGCGGCGGACGGGUGAGUAACACGUGGAUAACCUACCUAUAAGACUGGGAUAACUUCGGGAAACCGGAGCUAAUACCGGAUAAUAUAUUGAACCGCAUGGUUCAAUAGUGAAAGACGGUUUUGCUGUCACUUAUAGAUGGAUCCGCGCCGCAUUAGCUAGUUGGUAAGGUAACGGCUUACCAAGGCAACGAUGCGUAGCCGACCUGAGAGGGUGAUCGGCCACACUGGAACUGAGACACGGUCCAGACUCCUACGGGAGGCAGCAGUAGGGAAUCUUCCGCAAUGGGCGAAAGCCUGACGGAGCAACGCCGCGUGAGUGAUGAAGGUCUUCGGAUCGUAAAACUCUGUUAUUAGGGAAGAACAAAUGUGUAAGUAACGAUGCACGUCUUGACGGUACCUAAUCAGAAAGCCACGGCUAACUACGU